AAUAGAUACAAUGUUUUUAAAACAAGCAAAUUUUAUUAAAGGAAAAUUUUGCAGGUUUAAGGUUUGCAGGUGAAAUUUUGUAGGUGAAAAGGUUUACUUUUCACCAGUCUGUUCUGGCAUGCUUCUAAUGAUGUCAGAGUCACCUAAAAAAUAAAACUGGAUCAAUGAUAGCCAGUGUGCACACUCUGUAGUAUUUUCCGCAUGCUGUGCCCAGUUCAAUAUUAUUGCCACUGUAGUGAUGGACACCAGUUUUAGCCAACAUAGCAUAGUACUCUAUUUCAGAUU
rnacentral:lncRNA from 1 species